UAGUGGCGGACGGGUGAGUAACGCGUGGGAAUCUGCCCACAGGAGGGGGAUAACGGUUGGAAACGACCGCUAAUACCCCAUAUGCCGAGAGGUGAAACGAAAUUCGCCUGAGGAUGAGCCCGCGUCUGAUUAGCUAGUUGGUGGGGUAAAGGCCUACCAAGGCAUCGAUCAGUAGCUGGUCUGAGAGGAUGAUCAGCCACACUGGGACUGAGACACGGCCCAGACUCCUACGGGAGGCAGCAGAGGGGAAUUUUCCGCAAUGGGCGCAAGCCUGACGGAGCAACGCCGCGUGAGGGAUGAAGGCCUCUGGGCUGUAAACCUCUUUUCUCAAGGAAGAAGAACUGACGGUACUUGAGGAAUAAGCCACGGCUAA
rnacentral:rRNA from 1 species